rnacentral:rRNA from 1 species
GACGAACGCUGGCGGCGCGCCUAACACAUGCAAGUCGAACGAGAGAUGAAGAGCUUGCUCUUCAGAUCGAGUGGCGAACGGGUGAGUAACGCGUGAGGAACCUGCCUCAAAGAGGGGGACAACAGUUGGAAACGACUGCUAAUACCGCAUAAGCCCACGGCUCGGCAUCGAGCAGAGGGAAAAGGAGCAAUCCGCUUUGAGAUGGCCUCGCGUCCGAUUAGCUAGUUGGCGGGGUAACGGCCCACCAAAAGCGACGAUCAGUAGCCGGCCUGAGAGGGUGAACGGCCACAUUGGGACUGAGACACGGCCCAAAACUCCUACGGGAGGCAGCAGUGGGGAAUAUUGCACAAAUGGGGAAACCCGUGAUGCAGCGACGCCGCGUGAGUGAAGAAAGUAUUU